rnacentral:rRNA from 1 species
CAUGCAAGUCGAACGGUAACAGGAAACAGCUUGCUGUUUCGCUGACGAGUGGCGGACGGGUGAGUAACGUCUGGGAAACUGCCUGAUGGAGGGGGAUAACUACUGGAAACGGUAGCUAAUACCGCAUAACGUCGCAAGACCAAAGAGGGGGACCCUCGGGCCUCUUGCCAUCGGAUGUGCCCAGAUGGGAUUAGCUUGUUGGUGGGGUAACGGCUCACCAAGGCGACGAUCCCUAGCUGGUCUGAGAGGAUGACCAGCCACACUGGAACUGAGACACGGUCCAGACUCCUACGGGAGGCAGCAGUGGGGAAUAUUGCACAAUGGGCGCAAGCCUGAUGCAGCCAUGCCGCGUGUAUGAAGAAGGCCUUCGGGUUGUAAAGUACUUUCAGCGGGGAGGAAGGGAGUAAAGUUAAUACCUUUGCU